UACGUAGGGCGCAAGCGUUGUCCGGAAUUAUUGGGCGUAAAGGGCUCGUAGGCGGUUCGUCACGUCGGGAGUGAAAACUCGGGGCUUAACCCCGAGCCUGCUUCCGAUACGGGCAGACUAGAGGUAGGCAGGGGAGAGCGGAACUCCUGGUGUAGCGGUGGAAUGCGCAGAUAUCAGGAAGAACACCGAUGGCGAAGGCGGCUCUCUGGGCCUUACCUGACGCUGAGGAGCGAAAGCGUGGGUAGCGAACAGG
rnacentral:rRNA from 1 species